GUUACAUCUUUCAGUGUUGUGCUUUCUUUCAACAAUUUCUCGACUAAUUCCAGCGCUUUUUUAAUUGGUAUAGAUGGAUAAAGAUUUUCACGUCAUAACUCACUAGAAUCUCCUCUCCUUCAACCCUCCAUUCCUUGACUCUCUCUUUAAGCUCCCUCGAAUUCAUAACAAACAGUCCACUUCGUCCUUGUAUUGUACGUAAAAUAGGUAUUAGGUACCUGGAAAUUCUUUCAAACGGGGAUCCUACCGUUGACACAAUACCUCUCAAUGGAACUUCUUCUUUGUGUAUUUUUGGUAAACCUGACAAUCUGGAGCAUAACAAUCAUUCGGUUUUAGAUAACUACCAGCUUCUUCCGAUAAUUCAUUUCUUUGAACAAUAUUUUCAAUAAUCUUAGCUCCGUCCCUGCAUACCUUUCCCGUUAAAUCCCAUUCUUUUCCCGCUGUAAUAGAUGGUUUCGCUUUCAAAUCAACAAGUACUUGUUUCAUCUUGAAUUCGUACGAAUUUUCUCCUCCUUGACUUUCCGAUCCCAUCUAUCCAUUGCGACCAUUAUCCUUCCUUUGUCUGCCAGUAAGUAUACUUUAUUCUGGUCCUUCAUUGCCUUUGUAUUACCAGUUCUUUCUACUU